rnacentral:rRNA from 1 species
UACGGGGGGGGCAAGCGUUGUUCGGAAUUACUGGGCGUAAAGGGCUCGUAGGCGGCCAACUAAGUCAGACGUGAAAUCCCUCGGCUUAACCGGGGAACUGCGUCUGAUACUGGAUGGCUUGAGUUCGGGAGAGGGAUGCGGAAUUCCAGGUGUAGCGGUGAAAUGCGUAGAUAUUGGGAGGAACACCAGUGGCGAAGGCGGCUCACUGGACCGGUACUGACGCUGAGGCGCGAAAGCGUGGGGAGCAAACAGG